AACGUAGGAGACAAACGUUAUCCGGAAUUAUUGGGCGUAAAGGGCGCGUAGGCGGCUUGGCAAGUGGAUGGUGAAAUCCCUCGGCUUAACCGAGGAACUGCCGUCCAAACUGCUUUGCUUGAGACCGGGAGAGGUGAGUGGAAUUCCCAGUGGUAGCGGUGAAAUGCGUAGAUAGUUGGGAGGAACACCAAUGGCGAAGGCGGCUCACUGGACCGGUA
rnacentral:rRNA from 1 species